UUGCACGCUGGCGGCAUGCCUUACACAUGCAAGUCGAACGGCAGCACGGGUGCUUGCACCUGGUGGCGAGUGGCGAACGGGUGAGUAAUACAUCGGAACAUGUCCUGUAGUGGGGGAUAGCCCGGCGAAAGCCGGAUUAAUACCGCAUACGAUCCACGGAUGAAAGCGGGGGACCUUCGGGCCUCGCGCUAUAGGGUUGGCCGAUGGCUGAUUAGCUAGUUGGUGGGGUAAAGGCCUACCAAGGCGACGAUCAGUAGCUGGUCUGAGAGGACGACCAGCCACACUGGGACUGAGACACGGCCCAGACUCCUACGGGAGGCAGCAGUGGGGAAUUUUGGACAAUGGGCGAAAGCCUGAUCCAGCAAUGCCGCGUGUGUGAAGAAGGCCUUCGGGUUGUAAAGCACUUUUGUCCGGAAAGAAAUCCUUGGCUCUAAUACAGUCGGGGGAUGACGGUACCGGAAGAAUAAGCACCGGCUAACUACGUG
rnacentral:rRNA from 1 species